UAAAUAUGAGCCAUUAGCUGAAUCAUUUUCCCAUCAGGUUAGCUACCCACAUGGCUGAUCUUCUCCGCCACAGGAGGUCACUGUUCUGUCACCCUGUUCUCCCCCCCCCCCCCCACUUUAUCAUGAAAAACUGCUUAACUUUAUUGUGAUAAACUAAAGAAAUACAAAAAAAACAGAAAAGAGAGAGAGAAUUUAGUUCGGCGUUUUUUUCAGUUCGGACGUGUAACUGAGCGCGUCAAGUGCCAACAUUCAUUCUUCUACGCUAAUGAUAUUCGGCAUUUGUGGUUAGCCAAUUUUCAAUUUAUGUCUUUGGUACGUGUUCAUGUAUUUUAUGUAAAGCACAUAUAUCAUUGACUUUUAUAUGUGUUCUGCAGAUUUUAAGAUUUUUUGAAGUGACUUGAAAAAACGACCAAAUUACUCCUUUGCGGAGGCAAUUGAGUGGUGACAACUGAGUAGUCUAUAUAUGUCUGGAAUAUUGAAUUUUAUGUUGUUUCACUAAUUUGUCAAAUGUUUUUUAUGAACAGGAAUUCUUUCACUACAAUCGACAUGGUGUGCAAAUGAUAAAUGGAAAAUUUAGGUUAUUUGAUUAAUUUACGUCAUUUUAGAACAGUAUAUCACAGAAACUCAAAUUGAGAUGCCAUCAAAAGGAUUCCAAGGAGAGAGAUGCUACAUUUUUCACACCAGGUACCAUUUUGUGUACUUCAAGAAACAAGAACUCUCUAUAUACAGCUCUUCCAAAUAUAUAUCUUAAAGCCGCUGAAGGGGAUAUUGUUUUUGCCACAAUGGAUCUUAAAAAUUAGAUUAUUGCUUGAGUGAUGUUUUCUAAGGGUUUUAUUAAAUGCCCUGUAUCAUUUCUAUAUUUGAUUUGGCUGUGUUUUCUAUUGUGCAUUAGCAUAUUUUACUUUUUCUUCGUUUUACAGACUCAUAAAUCACUGCCUUUUUAUUUAUUGAUUGGUCUUGGACUAAAUAUAAAUAUCUACAAUAUAGAUCAGUCUACAAAUUGUUUAAAGAAUGUGAGUCUUUUUGAGAAGUUAUUAGUUGCUCCCUUGGUAUACUCUGUUUAGAGUUGUUUUAAUACAUGCGUUUAAAGUUGUUUGAAUACAAUACUUGGCCGUUGAAUCUGAUCAGGCUUUACAAGCCCGGGUUAAGUUUGUUUAUGCAUUUUAAUUAUAAUUAAAUUAUUUUGUCAAGUAUAAGUAGAUGACCCAUAAAUAGUAAAAUAUUUUGUCAAAAAUAGGUGACCACUGACCAGUGACAUAAUAUGCUUGCCAAUUUACAAUGGUAGGUUUUUUAGUGUUGUCAUUGCCAUAUUCAUUUUGAUUUUAUGCUAUCCAGUAGAGUGUAGCCAUUUUUCUGCACAGCAACUUGCAAUAUUAGCUUAACAACAUUUGCUUUUCAUGGCUGCUGAAACUAAGCUUGGUGACGACAUGCCCUAAAUUCUUGAUAAUGGCAAUUUGGUUGUGCUGAUCUGAGCAGGAAUUUAACUCAUCAUAUGAGCUUUUUGAGAAGGUCGUAAAUUGUAUGAAGGGGAUUGUUUUGAAUUGGGGAAAAGAUGAUUAGGCCUGUUUUCUGCGGAAAUUUCGAGUACGAAACUCGCCAAUCGGACCUGGAGCGUUUGUUUUCCAAGUACGGGAGAGUUGAGCGCGUCGACAUGAAAUCUGGAGAAGCAUAGUAACUAUGUUUGCUGCGGUCUGCUAUUUCCGUCUACUGACUUGAAGAAUGGUAUGUACAUGUAUGAAAGGAAUAUAUAUAUUUGUGGUUAAUACUCAUGCUAUUUAUAAAGAAAUUUAAGUUGAUAUAGAACUCAAACUUCAUGUAAGGUUGAUAAUUUUUUUUAGUGGCCUUAAGGUAUGGAAGAAACCUGAAGUGGAAAAUCCUGGAUUUUGUAUUUUGUAUUUUACGAGGGAUUCGGUAGUUUACCAGUGGUUGAAAGUAAUGGCAAUGUGGUAAUAUAAGCAUCAGAGACAUUCAGUUCCUACCACUUGCACCUGCUGUUUACAAAGAAUAAAGGUAUCGAAGUUGGGUUAUUUAUAUUCCAGCAGCUUCAUCACUUGGAUGCUAAUCAUGGUAUAGGAAGAUAGUUCCAGAUCGCUAUUAUUACUCAACUGGUAAUGUUGAGACUUAAGGUUACUUGACUGCAUCUAAUUAUGUUUUUCAUUCUUUCACUUUUCAUGAUUUCAUAUUAUCUUAUUAGUAAUCGAAGUGUAGUCGAGGAUAUACAAAUUCAAAGUACUGAGCUUUAGCGGUUAACUGUCUUUUAUGCCUGUAAGAGUACUAUUAUACUGUUUCUGGAAUCCCCUGGCUGUAGCUUUCCUGUAAACAAACAUAUAGCAUCACAAUUUAAUUCCUUUAACUUUUAUUUUAAAUUUAAAUUAUGACUCCUCUUUAUUCUAAAACCAGCUCCUAUAAUAUCUUUACUGAUAUCCAUUGAAGUUAGUUUGUUUGACCUGUAUUUCUGUUCUGAGAGUUGAUUUUAAUAUUACUGGAUUUACACCCCUAUAUCAGAGUAGUUUCUUUCUUGGAAUUAUUUGAGAUUCCAGAUGGGAUCCAGAAAAGUUAGGAUAUAACCACACCCAUUAAGUUUCUGAUUUGUUUGGCAAACCUCGAACCCAUAGUUACCAACAACUGUGCAAAAAUUACUUGACAUGCUGAAUUCGAUUGCCAAAUUUCAAGCAUUGAAGUUUCAACUGGUAGUAUACCUAUUCAAGUCGACUCAGAGCUUGGUCCUGCCCGAGUCUAAAAUGCUCUAGAAGCAAGAAGUUAAUUGUUUCUUACAAGUAGAAUCAAUAGUUUAUAAGUUAACUAUGCAAUUUAGAGAGCCCCGUCCAUCUGCAGGAGACCGGUUUUCUUUUUUUCUUUUUCUUUUUGCAGGCCAAGGAGAUGAAUUCCGUCCACUGUGUUGAGAACACUUCAUGAGAAAUUUAUCCUGCCGUCUUUCUAAGAGUCCAAGUUGAGGAGCUAGCAAGGUUUCAGAGACAUAUUCUGUUUCUGUUGGGGACAUUUAUCUAAUAAAGUUGUCUAAGUUGAUCGUUUUGUGAAUUCUGGAGAUCCUGCACCUCUUGCAAAUGGUGAACCAGUAUAUGUUGCCAAUAUAGAAUACAGUGAUCCUCCUGUGACUGUAAACUGGUUUCUGGUAACUUUUUUGUAGAAACUUUGUUGUCCGUAUGAAAUCUUCUUUCAGA